UACGGAGGGCGCGAGCGUUACCCGGAUUCACUGGGCGUAAAGGGCGUGUAGGCGGCCUGGGGCGUCCCAUGUGAAAGACCACGGCUCAACCGUGGGGGAGCGUGGGAUACGCUCAGGCUAGACGGUGGGAGAGGGUGGUGGAAUUCCCGGAGUAGCGGUGAAAUGCGCAGAUACCGGGAGGAACGCCGAUGGCGAAGGCAGCCACCUGGUCCACCCGUGACGCUGAGGCGCGAAAGCGUGGGGAGCAAACCGG
rnacentral:ncRNA from 2 species